GUAGCCUGCCCAGAGCCAAGCCUGCUCAAGCUGAGCUCUGAGAUGGUUAGGGUUCUGCAGCUGCCUGAAGAGGAAGUACAUAUUCAUGUGAGACCUCAAUCUGCUGCCCUUUAGCCAGGAGGUCUGCUCUGAUUUUGCUCCUAACAGGGUAUCUAUCCAUGCCCUGAGGAAAAGGCUCCCUGCUGCUGACAAGCCGACUCAAAACCUUAAAACUGACACAUCCAAUAACACUGAGAUGUGCUCAGAGAGGGGCUUCCAUGGCCAGAGCCGAUAAGCUCAGGUGGGUUGAAUGGAGCAGUAAUAGUCUGGGCUACAAGUACCCCUGAAACAAGUAGACAGCCUUCAGGGGCAGAAGGAAGGUCAUGGGGUAAGUUUGUGACUCUCCAAACAGGUCCAGAGUGUGUACACUGGUCAGAGAAAAUUAAAGCGGGUGGGGAAAAAGUGGGGUGGCUCAAGCAGGGUCUCAGGUCUCUCCUAGUGACCUCUGUCAGUCUGCUUCCCUCUUUCUAGAUGCCACAGAGGACUCCCAUUCUGUCUCAGAAAUGUGGGAAGCAACAGCUGUGUUGACUGUGCCUUGGAGCCUUCAUCCUCUCACCCUCUUGAUGGGGUAUUUUACCCCUCUCAGCACUCCACUUCUGCACCAGGGAUGAGGUGAGUAAUGAGUAGGGAAGUGCUUCAUGAGCUGGAGAAUCUGAUUUCUGAGUUGUUCCCACAGACCCCAAUAGGCGCAUCAUCCCAGCUGGUGGUGGCGCCAGGGAACACAUGCAUCUUGCUUGCCACACACCUGGGAGGGUAGGAAGAAUAAGAUCCCCAGCUACAAGGUUCAGACAAUUUCAGAGCCUUCUUCUUUUAAGUGCUAGAACCUACGCAGAAUUCCAUUGGCUAAACCAAAUAAUUGAGUUCAGGAUAGAUUAAAUCCAGACACAUGUCGUGUUUAGUGCCAAUUAUUCACCCAGGCAGGGGCGGGUAAGGGGUCUGGACUAUGUCACGUCAUGCCUUCUAGAGACUGACAGGUCCUUUGAGUUCAAGGUGAGCGGACCUAAAAUAAUAAUAGUCAUGGUCUUAGCUUUGUUUCCCUCGGAGCUGGCACUUAGCUUGGAUCUGCUACUGCUCAGGAGGACAGCUUCUCCUUACCUUGUUUACAAUGGAUGACAGAACAUGCAGGACCAUUUGUCCCUGCUUCUGUGCUCUGGUUCAGCAAGAGAAGUGGGAAGUAGGGAGUGGAAGAACUCUACCCCGUCUACCUCAUUCACCCAGGCACACAGCACAGGCUGGGUGUCUGGCCUCCUGUGUGCCCUUGGGAUUCCCCAUCACUGUCACUGUCUGGAGAUAGCUGUGUGGAUGUAAGCUUGGGAGGGCGGGAGGAUGCAAAGAUGCUGUGAUUUGCCAUCUAGUGCUGAGUUCAGAGCUUGGGAGGACAACAACCCAGGCUUAAAACUCUGCUUCUCACUGUGAAAUGACUUAAAUUAAGCCAUGGCUUUCAGCCCAGGGCUGGGAAGCCCCAGCUGCACCCUUCUCAGGACCACCUGACCUUAGUCUUCAUAUCAACCUCAAUUCACAUUCUUCACUCAAAAGCUCAAGAAGGUACAAGGCCAGUGAGGAAAAAAAGCAAGGAGUCCAGAAAAGAGCACUUGGGAUGGUGAGCUCAGUACUUAGAGUGGGUCAAAACACGAGUCAGAACCUGGAAAGACAUUGGGGAGAACCUCAGAAUGAACCAGGAAGUGGCAGGGCCCCAGGCAAUGAAUCUGGCUGUUUGGAAACAUGGCUUGUCACCCACAGAGAGGGAAAGGAUUCAUUGGUGACCACGGGAUAAUUGAGACUGUGACAAAGGACCAGAAGAGAAUCCUGUUUUUGAGCAUAGGCAGGAAGGAUAGCACUUUUCAUGGAAUUUUUCUUCUGUUUCAAUGCAGCAUUUUCUCACUGUUAUUAAUUGUUCUCUUAGCAAAUGUGUUAAUUAUUUAUUGCUGUAUAACCAAUUGCUGUAAACUAACUCAAACAUCAAUCAACAGACAUUUAUUGUAUCACAUAGAUUUCCAGGGUUAGGGAUCUGAAAGUAGCUUGGUUGUGUGGUGGGGUGGCUCAGGUCGGUGGAGAAGUUACAGUGAGGAUGAAACCAGGGCUGCAGCAUCAUUGGAAAGCUUGACUGGAACUAAAGGUCUUGCUCUCAGGAGGUUGUCUGCAUGGAAGCCUUGGGUCCUGGCUAACUGCUGACAAGAGACCUCAUUACCACCCACGAGGACUUCCCCACAAGACUGCUUGAAUGUCCUUGUUAUAUGGGAACUGGCUUUCUCCAGAGUAGGAGGUCUUGAUGACCAGGGUGAUAAUAAUUCUGAGAUGAUCUCCUUGAUCCAAAGAGAGAUUAUCCUUCUUGGUCCGCCCUAUUCAGGUGAUCUCUUAAUAUAGGCUAGAGAUAUUUGAAGCCAUGAAUGUUUUUGUUGGUCUUAAUGGAGAAAAGUACCAUAUUGUGGAUGAAGCCCAAGUGUCAGACCUCAAGUACAGCCUCUUUGGUGGAGUUCAGAUGACAGCCUUUAAAGUUAAGAGUAUCCAUAGUCAACAGGCUAAAAGAUCUCAUCCCUAUAACACUAGGACUUCAAUUCUACCAAGAACCUGCAUGAGUUUGGAAGAGGACCCCAAACUUCACUUGAGAUCUCAGUCCUGGCCAGUGCCUGCAUUUCGGCCUUAUGAGACUCUUGAGAAGAAGACUCAGUCACACAAUGCCUAGACUUCUGGCCUACAGAACCAUGAGAUAAUCAAUUUGUGUAAUUUAGGAUAAGUUCAUGGUAAUUCGUUAUGCAGCAAUAGAAAAUUAAUAUGCUCAAUUUCUGAAGUUGAACCCAUCACUAAUGCCUUUAUUCUAUUUUUCCAAUGAGUCAUUAUGUCCACCCAUACUUAAGGGGAGGGGUUCACUUUUAAAGGGAGUGUUUAAGAAUUUUCAGACUUAUUUUGACCUGGCACAGACUAGCAAUGAGUGCCACAGGGCCAUGUCGAUACACCCAUCAUAGAGAAGAAGCCCAUGCUUCUAACAUCCAAAGCGAAUUCACACGAGUUGACUUAACAGGCUUAGGUAAGGCGAGGGAGAGUUUUCUUUAAGGGAGUGACAAUCCUAGCUAAAGUGUGGGAGGUUGGUGCUCAUUCCCCCCCUUUUUGAUGUUCCCUUGUGAGCAAUCUACAGAGUAAUUGUGUAGAAGCAGGACAAGGAUGAAACAUUCCUGUCUUUAAUUUGAAAGUUACAACGUGUUAAUCAGCCCCAGUCUGAACCUUGCGGGAGUGCUAAAUUUGGGAAUUAUUAGCAUCUUCCAGAUGGGAUGGUGUGAGGGGGGACUAGGGUGGAGUUCAGAUGACAGGCCACAGACAAAAUAUUUGGGGACAUUUUUAGCAGGACAAAGCUCACUGUCCUCAAAGCUACAUUCUAUUUCUUUGCUCUAAAAUAACUUGUGUCUUUUUGACAACCCAAUCUCUAGUGCUUGUUAUCAAGUCAGUCCUUGAAGCAACUGGGUGUUUUCUGAAUCAGCAUGGACCAUGAGAGAUCAUUCUGAAAAAGCACAGAUGCUACUAGGAAGUUCCUUUAAUUUCCACAAAAUUUUCUAUUUUAUAGCUACAUUCUGCUCUGCUUUCUCUGCUCCUACAGGCUAAAUACAUCUGAGGGCUGAAUUGAGAUGUUCCCUGUGGUGGGUGACAGUGGCCUAGAAAAGCCAUUACCUUGUGAACAGACAGGGUCCACAAGCCUGAGGCUUUAUCUUCCCAAACAGCAGAGAAGGAAAGCAAAACUGAAUAAUUUAAGAAUGUGUCAGCAAUUUGGCAAGUCAGAGAAGUCAAAAAGCCAUAUGAGUUCAUAAAUAAGCCACAGACCCUGGCUGGAGUUAGUCAAAAUCCCCAAAGUCUUUGCCUAUUGACACCAGUUUAGUUUGGUUUUAUUUCAUUUUUAGCUGUGGCUGGCAGCCUGCAUAGAGCUGUGGGGGUAGAAGGGUGAAUUCAUGCAGACUGCUGUAGGCAGGGGGUAAGAAUGGAGACCCCCAAAGGGCCUCAGAUCUGUAGGUGGGAGUCAAGAGGAACUAGACCACCUCUUGGCCCUGGGCCUGGCCUGGAGUCUUAAUGAGGCUGCAUUAUUGUUGAUGAUGAUGGUGAUGGAGCAAAACAAAGAGGCCCAGGGGCCAGGGCAUGGGCUUUAAUUAUUUGGUCCAAGCCCCACAAAAAGCCAUUCCUACUGGUAUACCUAUCCUUCAGAUCUUGGUGCAGAACAGAGUACUGAUGCCCCCACAGUGCCCUUCUCUGGUCUAUUCUUGCACAUGUCUUAGUAUCUUUGUUUAUUACAGACACAGGAAACAUGGAGAGGAAAUCAUCUUGCACCAUGAGGCAUCUAUCUAUCUGUCAGAGGCAAGUUUCUUGAUAUCAGCAUAGAGAGACCUCUGAUUUUUGCCACUUUCUCAAAUUGGGCAGGGGAAGGUAGGUGGUGCCAGUUGACUAGUCCCCAGAAAUUCCUGAACCAAGUUGGAAAACAGUGGAGAGCUGAGGCUUGACCUAGACUGCUCUAUUGACAGCAGGUGUCAGGAUAACCAGCAGCCUGUCCUUCUCCUGUACCCUGACCUGAGCUGUUAAUUCUCAGUCAGGGCUGGUGUACUAAAAAGUUGAGGUAUUACAUACAUGCCUUUUAUUGUUUAAUCCUUGAAACAAUCUUAAGAGCUAAAGGUUUUUUUUGUCCCCUUAGCAGGUUAGAAUUCUAAGCAGUGAAAGUCUUGUCCAAGGAGGGAGAUCUAAUCAUUAGCUGAAACAGGACUUGAGCCAACCACAUCUCAUACAAUAGUACCUUCAUAUCUAUCCACUUCCCACAGUAGGAGUAUAGACCGUUGCCUGAGGAAUCUCUGGGAUGAAACCUGGCACACAGAUUUCAAAUUGGUCUAGCAAGCACCCAUAGGAGCCAGGGCAGCAUGGAAGAAUUGAGUCUAUGUGACAGAGAAACAGCUAACCUGGCUGCUGGUUCACUGCUGGACUUGCUUAUCUUUAGAGAAUUUGUAUAGGUUGUAUUUCUGCCCCCACCCUUUUUGAGCUACACCCCAGCCUGUGGAUUGUAUUUUUGAUACCCUUUCAAAACUUGAUAUUUAACACUUGUCCUUCACUACAUCAAUACCAUAUGUGGUGCACUGGGGCAAACAGAACUCCCCUCCAAAGAUACAUGUGUGACUAAUUCCCCCCAAACCUGUGAAUAUCACAUUAUAUGGCUAAAGACAUGAUUAUAUUAAGGACCUGGUGAUGAGGAGCCUGUUCUGGGUCAUCCAGGUGCCUAAUGCUAUCACGGGUGUUCUUAGAAGAGAGAAGCAGAGGAAGUUUUGUCUCAGGUCUACACAGGGAGAAACCCUUAUGAAGAUGGAGGAAUAACAUUGGUGUGAUGGGGCCACAGCCCAGGAAUGCUACAGCAGCCACUGAAAAUUGAAGAGGAAGGAUUCUUUCCAAGAGUCUCCUGAGGGAGUAUGGCCUUGCUAACACCUUGAGAGAACAAAUGUCUGCUGUCCAAAGCUUCUGAGCUUGUGGUCAUUUAUUAUAGCUAUUCAUAGAGCUGGCAAAACCCACUUCUCUACUGAACACCCACCUGCUUUUAACUUGACCCAGGAAGGGAGAUGUGCUGGCUGACUACUGCUUGCUUGCAUGUGAGUGGAGAAGUGAGUGGAAAGAAUCAGGAAGUGGUUCUCCAGGCCAGCUCUGAAGACUGCCAAUCCCAGCCCAGAGUCAGAGCAAACUGCCCUGAUAGACAGCUGCAGAAAUUUCAUGGAGGUGCUACCAGGACCUUGUUCCCAGUGUUUAGGAACCAAGACACCCAGAAGUGGGGUUUGGGUGGAAACUAAGGAAAUAGAAUCCUUCAAAAUAUGCUGUCUUGCAACUCUGUUUUAAAAUUAAUAUUAUAUGUGGGACCAUUUCCCACUCCAGAGCAGGAUAUGCUCUCAUUCCUUGCACCAGCUGUAUAGUAUCUCAUUGCAGGAAAUCACAAGGAAGAAGAGAGGGAAGGUACUGUUAAAGCUGAUGUUAAAGUUAAAAUUCAGAUUCAAAGCUAGUGUUGACAUGCGGAAAUAGGCCUAAAAUAAUCUGAAUGACAGCCUUUGUCCAAGAAGAGGGUGUAUCUCAUGAAAACUGGAGAGAACACAUUCUGCCCAGAGAAAUGCUAAUUUAAUCAACAUGACAUUGAACUGAAUUUAAAAAAAAAAAAAGGUGCACAAGAAGCCAAAGCCCCAGACCACACAUGAAAAGGAGUUACUCAGGAGGGUAUGGAGUUACUCCGGAGGGUAUCAGGUGAUGUGCCUAACUAAGAAUGGCAGGAAAGGAAUGUUUGCAAAUUCACAAGGGAUAAAAAUGAUUAGGAUGUGAAUUUGAGAUAAUCCUCACCCCUCAGGUACAUAAGUGCUUGUACAUGAAACCAGAAAGGGAAUGGGAGGCUUGAGACCAUCAACGGGAAUAAAGGUAAGCUCAAGCCUUGCUGAGACUGGUGGAGUGGGGGUGUCAACUGCAGUGGCAAUGGCAGGUUGAGAAUCAGAACCUGUACGUUGAUGAAAGGUGGGGUUUUGUGGGUGAAAAGCCUGGAUGAAGGAGUUGCCUCAAGGGCCCCUGGCAAACUUGUUCCACCUGCUGUGCUCUCUGAGCCCCAUAAGACCCCCAAGAUCCUCACCUCUGGCUGGAGCCCUGCACUUGUGCCUGCAAAGAGCCAGCAGUUUCUACAGCAGAGGAGGGAGUGUGGGGGCUGUUCCCAGGUUCUGUGAGGUUUACUAAACCCUGACAGGUUUACUUUCUGACCAGGGCUUCUGAUGGACCCAGCCAUUAUGGGCCCCUCCCAGUCCUUCCUGUGUAAAAAGUCUGCUUUGGUCUCUUGCCCUUGUAUCUUUGGUCCUUGAGGCUGGUCAUGACCUAUCUCUUGUUUGUGGCAUCUUGAAAUGGACUUCUCAAUGUUGUGUAGGAGGAAAUUAGAGUUUUUUCUCAGUAUCCAUGUGGGAUUGACUCCAUGACCCCAAACAGGUACCAAAAUCUCAGGAUGCUCAAGUCCCUUGUUUAAAAUAGCAAGAUAUUUGCAAAUAACCUACCCACAUCCUCCUGUAUAUUUAAAACAUUUCUAGAUUAUUUAUAAUAUCUACCACAACAUAAAUGCUAUGUAAAUAAUUGCCAUACUAUAUUGUGUAGGAAACAAUGACAAGGAGAAAUUCUAUACAUAUUUAUAUACACAUAAUAUUUUUUCAUAUUUUUUGUUCAUGGUUAGUUUAACCUGUGGAUUCAGAACCCAAGGAUAUGGAGAGUGGGUUGUAAAACAGGGUUUCUGUGGACUCCUGGGCUUCCCUUCCUCCUUAGAGGCAGAGCCAAGAGAACCCUUAGAACCUGCAUGUAUGAUUAGUAAAACAAUUAUUCUGUACCCCCAUUGUCCCAUUUGUUUGAACUGUGGUAAUAAAUCUUAUAAAACUAAUCAAAACAUUAUAAACACAAAUUGAACGUUUAGUCCAAUUGCUUAUCUUCCUUUUGUUAAUUCAUUACCUUCUCUCUCAGUUUUAGCCUUUCCCCAUUCAAGCAUAUUUAUUUUAUCAAGAAAGGGAUGUGAUAAGGCAGGUAAAAAAGAAAGCAGAUUUUUUUUUUUUUUUUCUGGACUUGGUCACAGUCCCAAAGAAAGGCAGCUGAGCAGAGCUGAAUGGAAAGGCCUUGAUGAAUGAUAUAGUUGCAACGAGAGUUAGACACACCCCUUUAGAAUGCAGGAGGAAGGUGAAAAUACCCUGUAAUCUCAUGUAUCUUUUCCUAAUUCCCAGAACCACCAUUAGCAUUUGGAACAUGUUCUUUGAGCCUGUAUCUAUGCAAAUGCUAUGUUUUCUGAAGAAAUAUGUGUGGUACUGAAAUUUAGUUUUCAUUUAAGAUGUCAGUGGUAUUUUAUCAUGGCAAUCCAUAUAAUUCAAUCCAUUUUAGUGUUUUCAAUGGCAAUAUUUAAUUCCAUAUUAUUCUUGCUUGAUUAUAGGCAUAAUUUGUUGAACAAAUCCCCUCUCAUGGAAAGUUGUAUUUUUGCAAACAAAUUGUAUGAUAUAUCUCAUGUACAGAGCAUCUUCCACGUACAAUUAUUUGUGGUUUUUCAAUUUUACCAUUGUGCAAAAAAUGCAGUGUUCAAUAUAUUACAUGAGAUAUUAUAAAAUGGGCUUUGUGUUAGAUGAUUUUGCCCAACUGUGGCCUAAUGUAAGUGUUCUGGGUACCAUUAAGGUAGGUGAGGCCAAGCUAUAGAGUUCAGUAGGUAGAGUGUAGUAAAUGCAUUUUGACUUUAGAUGUUUUCAACUUAAAAUGGAUUUAUCAGGUCAUAACAUUAUCAUAAGUUAAGGAACAUCUGGGUAUAUGUUUAAGUACCUGAGAACAUGUUUCUAUAUUAUAAAUUCAUAAAGUAGAACCUUAGUCACAGUAUAUUUUAUUUUAAUAGAUUGAUGACAUUUCCCUCCAUUAAGUUUGCAUCAGUUUAUAGCCCCCCUCAGUGUAUGUAAGAGUUUCAGACUGACCUUUUCAGAAGUUCAGAAAACCAAAACCAAGACUUAGGAACUUGCCCAAUGCAGAUGAAGCCAUCAGAAUCCUUGGAUGACCCAUGUGUGAGGGGAUUUUCCUAAGGGGAUUGUAAGAUUUCAGGACUGAAUAGAGACUGAGAAGAGUAAAGGGUGUAAGGAUUGAGUGGCUCAGGCAAGAAACCUUUAGUUAGCUACCAUGACAGAAGGAAAACAUGCAUGCGACUAAGUUAAUUAAACCAAGCUGUAUUAUUUUUCUUGGCAUUCUUUGCUUCCCCUUUAUAACUAGUCUUUCUGGAGGGCAGCCUGUGCUCUGUCCCUUGUAAGAAGCUGAUAUGUCACCCAGGAAGGGGGCACAGGCUCCCCCUUUCCCCCUUGAUGGUGGAUUCACCCACCAGAUUCCUUGAUAUUUUUGUAACUGGUUUUUAAAUUUCAUUUCACACAUGCUACAGAGGGUUUUACUUUUUCAUAUGUCUUUUAUUAAAACGAUUUCUGGAAAACAUGCUGAGCUGUGGCUUUUGGAAACAACAGGGGAGGAAUGCCGCCUGCCUCAUAAAAACAUAACCAAAAGUAUGUUGAUGAGUAAAAGGCUGGGCUUCCAGGGCUGGCCAAGUGCAUCUUUGGAUUGGGUCCUUCAGAGCAACUGCAGGAUCACUGUUAUUGGCCAAUGUGGUGUUGAUGAAGCAACAGCAAAACAUGCAUUUUUUUUUUUUCACGCCUGACAGAACCAACUCUUUGACAAUCAUCUUUUAUAAACCUGU
rnacentral:lncRNA from 1 species